CACUUGAUGCNUUAGUAGCGAAGCUAACGCGUGAAAUUGACCGCCUGGGGAGUACGGUCGCAAGAUUAAAACUCAAAGGAAUUGACGGGGACCCGCACAAGCGGUGGAUGAUGUGGAUUAAUUNGAUGCAACGCGAAGANCCUUACNNGGUCUUGACAUGUACGGANUCUUCCAGAGACGGAAGAGUGCNUUCGGGAGCCGUAACACAGGUGCUGCAUGGCUGUCGUCAGCUCGUGUCGUGAGAUGUCGGGUUAAGUCCCGCAACGAGCGCAACCCUUGUCAUUAGUUGCCACCAUUCAGUUGGGCACUCUAAUGAGACUGCCGGUGACAAACCGGAGGAAGGUGGGGAUGACGUCAAGUCCUCAUGGCCCUUAUGACCAGGGCUUCACACGUCAUACAAUGGUCGGUACAGAGGGUAGCCAAGCCGCGAGGUGGAGCCAAUCUCAGAAAACCGAUCGUAGUCCGGAUUGCACUCUGCAACUCGAGUGCAUGAAGUCGGAAUCGCUAGUAAUCGCAGGUCAGCAUACUGCGGUGAAUACGUUCUCGGGUCUUGUACACACCGCCCGUCACACCAUGGGAGUGGGGGAUACCAGAAGUA
rnacentral:rRNA from 1 species